rnacentral:rRNA from 1 species
GAUGAACGCUGGCGGCGUGCCUAAUACAUGCAAGUCGAGCGAAUGGAUUGAGAGCUUGCUCUUAUGAAGUUAGCGGCGGACGGGUGAGUAACACGUGGGUAACCUGCCCAUAAGACUGGGAUAACUCCGGGAAACCGGGGCUAAUACCGGAUAACAUUUUGAACCGCAUGGUUCGAAAUUGAAAGGCGGCUUCGGCUGUCGCUUAUGGAUGGACCCGCGUCGCAUUAGCUAGUUGGUGAGGUAACGGCUCACCAAGGCAACGAUGCGUAGCCGACCUGAGAGGGUGAUCGGCCACACUGGGACUGAGACACGGCCCAGACUCCUACGGGAGGCAGCAGUAGGGAAUCUUUCGCAAUGGACGAAAGUCUGACGGAGCAACGCCGCGUGAGUGAUGAAGGCUUUCGGGUCGUAAAACUCUGUUGUUAGGGAAGAACAAGUGCUAGUUGAAUAAGCUGGCACCUUGACGGUACCUAACCAGAAAGCCACGGCUAACUACGUGCCAGCCGCCGCGGUAA